CCUACGUGAGGCAGCAGUGGGGAAUAUUGCACAAUGGGGGAAACCCUGAUGCAGCGACGCCGCGUGAGUGAAGAAGUAAUUCGUUAUGUAAAGCUCUAUCAGCAGGGAAGAAAAUGACGGUACCUGAGUAAGAAGCCCCGGCUAACUACGUGCCAGCAGCCGCGGUAAUACGUAGGGGGCAAGCGUUAUCCGGAUUUACUGGGUGUAAAGGGAGCGUAGACGGCAGGGCAAGUCUGGAGUGAAAUGCGGGGGCUCAACCCCCGGACUGCUCUGGAAACUGUACGGCUGGAGUGCAGGAGAGGUAAGUGGAAUUCCUAGUGUAGCGGUGAAAUGCGUAGAUAUUAGGAGGAACACCAGUGGCGAAGGCGGCUUACUGGACUGUAACUGACGUUGAGGCUCGAAAGCGUGGGGAGCAAACAGGAUUAGAUACCCGGGUAGUC
rnacentral:rRNA from 1 species